CUGAGUAAUAAGGGAACUGAACUUCCAGACACAGAAUAUACAGAGCUGGUGAAAACACUGCCAGUUAGUGGUGAUGGAAAGGUGCAUAAAAAUAGGAUACUAAAGGGUGUGAAGUCUUUCAAAAGAGGAAAAGUUGACAGCAGCAACCUGAAAUCAAUUCUAGAAAAAAUGGACAUCAAACUCACUGAAAAAGAAUUUGAAGAGCUAAAAGAAAAUCUGUUGAUGGUUUGCAUAGUAGAUACCCUUGUCAGUCCCCAAAGGAAGUUUUGUCCAAGUCUUACAGCUGAGAAUUUCUAAAACUGGAUUUCGUUAGUGAUAAGAUAAAAGUUUAAAAUAUGAAGGUACGGUAAAAUUAGAAAAAAAGCUACAGAUGCCAACUAUUGCUGCUGUCAUUCAACAUUGUCUUAAGGGGUGUAGCUACUUUAGUGAGGAAAUGGGAUGAAAUAAUAUUGGGAAAGGGAAACUUUAGUUUCAGAUGAUAUGAUUGUGUAUCUAGGAAACACAAGCACACAAACUAAAAGAAAUCUGUGAGAAUUAUUGAGCCUUCGAUAAGCCAUUUUGGUUCAGGUGGCUUAAUACAAGAUAAAUAUGCAAAUCUCAGUGGCUUUCCCUAAGCUAGCAAUGACCAAAUAGAAAUAAAAUAGGAAAAGUAUUUGAUUUGUAACAUCAACAAAACCCAUGAAUUAUCUGGGAAUACAUUUUACAAGAAAUAGGAUCUGUAUAAAGAAAACUGUAAAAUCUUAUUAAGGAACGUAAAAUAAAACAUUAGUAUUGUUGAAUGGUAAACUAACAUACAGGAUCAGAUUGUUAAAUCAGACUGACAUGAAUCGGAGAUCUUAUCCAGCAUCAAGCUUCGCUAAAUAAUGUCAAGGAUAAAAGCCAUUAGCAAAUAAAUAGAGGUCUGAGAUGUCAAGAGCGCCAUAGUUUCUUCCUUCCCAUGUUGAACAUGCCACUCUGGUCCAGAAUAGAUGAAGUCUCUAUCAGUCACCUCACACAGCAGGAGCAUUUAAAUUAUGAAACAUUCCAGAAAGUUGUAUAGCCUUUGUGACAUUAUCCAGGGAGCCAUGCCUCAUAGAUCAUGGGUUCUAUUUGCUACCAAUAAUCCCUAGCCACAGACAUACUGCUAAGGGCAUUUCAAACAUAAAGACUCUUCCUCGUAGCAUAUAUCAUUAGUCUAUUUACCUGGAGGACCAAUUGACAAGGAUAUUAAACUGGGUCACCUUCCUUCUUUUCUUUUCACUGAGGGCAACUCCUCAGUGAAGGGAGUUAAUGGAUUAUAGACCACUUGCUUUAACUCUUUCCUCUCAGAUGGAAAAAUUUCUCUAGAUUUACUGAAAUAAAGAUAUCAAUUAUCCUAAAAUAAUAUGAGUAUAUACACAUAUAUCGUUUGUGUGUAUGUGUA